GAUUUGAAGAGCUUGCUCAGAUAUGACGAUGGACAUUGCAAAGAGUGGCGAACGGGUGAGUAACACGUGGGAAACCUACCUCUUAGCAGGGGAUAACAUUUGGAAACAGAUGCUAAUACCGUAUAACAAUAGCAACCGCAUGGUUGCUACUUAAAAGAUGGUUCUGCUAUCACUAAGAGAUGGUCCCGCGGUGCAUUAGUUAGUUGGUGAGGUAAUGGCUCACCAAGACGAUGAUGCAUAGCCGAGUUGAGAGACUGAUCGGCCACAAUGGGACUGAGACACGGCCCAUACUCCUACGGGAGGCAGCAGUAGGGAAUCUUCCACAAUGGGCGAAAGCCUGAUGGAGCAACGCCGCGUGUGUGAUGAAGGGUUUCGGCUCGUAAAACACUGUUGUAAGAGAAGAAUGACAUUGAGAGUAACUGUUCAAUGUGUGACGGUAUCUUACCAGAAAGGAACGGCUAAAUACGUGCCAGCAGCCGCGGUAAUACGUAUGUUCCAAG
rnacentral:rRNA from 1 species